AUUGAACGCUGGCGGCAUGCCUUACACAUGCAAGUCGAACGGCAGCGGACCUUCGGGUGCCGGCGAGUGGCGAACGGGUGAGUAAUAUAUCGGAACGUACCUUUCAGUGGGGGAUAACGUAGCGAAAGUUACGCUAAUACCGCAUAUUCUGUGAGCAGGAAAGCAGGGGAUCGCAAGACCUUGCGCUGAUUGAGCGGCCGAUAUCAGAUUAGCUAGUUGGUGAGGUAAAGGCUCACCAAGGCGACGAUCUGUAGCGGGUCUGAGAGGAUGAUCCGCCACACUGGAACUGAGACACGGUCCAGACUCCUACGGGAGGCAGCAGUGGGGAAUUUUGGACAAUGGGCGCAAGCCUGAUCCAGCCAUGCCGCGUGAGUGAAGAAGGCCUGGUUGUAAGACGUCUUCGGUCCGGAGGAAGUACGCACAGGUUAAUACCCUAGU
rnacentral:rRNA from 1 species